rnacentral:lncRNA from 1 species
CCUCGCCCUCCCCAGCUCUACCCAGGUGUGCGGGGUCUCGCUCUCCUCAGCCCUGCCCGCGGUGUGCGGGGCUGGGUCUCUCCUCGCUCGUGCCCGCGGUGUGCGGGGCUGGGUCUCUCCUCAGCCCUGCCCGCGGUGCCCGGGGCCUCUCCCUCCUCAGCCCUGCCCGCGGUGCCCGGGGCCUCUCCCUCCUCAGCCCUGCCCGCGGUGCCCGGGGCCCUCUCGCUCUCCUCGCCUCCGCCCCAGCCGUGCGGCACCGGCGCGGGGACAGCCGCCGCAGCCUGCCCACCCCGGGGAGACGUCCUCCUCAGGGGCGCGAGCCCAGACGGCUCCCAGGGCUGACCAAGGGCAGGGGCAGGGGGAGGAGCCCGCUCGGCUCGCCCAGGCCCGGCGGCCGCAGCGGCCGGCGACCAGCGAGCAGUGCACGCCGGGACGGGUUGUCAGCCGCCCGCCAGUCCGCCGCGCCGGAGCGGCCGCCCCGCCUCGGUCCGCCCCGCCUCGGACCACGUCGCCCUUUCCCCGAA